AGCAGCCGCGGUAAUUCCAGCUCCAAUAGCGUAUAUUAAAGUUGUUGCAGUUAAAAAGCUCGUAGUUGAAUUUCGGGAUUGACACAUCGGUCGUGCCUUAAGGGGUAUGAACUGGUGUAGUCAAUUUCUCACCUUCUGGAGAACCGCGAUGCCCUUAAUUGGGUGUCGCGGGGAACCAGGACCUUUACUUUGAAAAAUUAGAGUGUUUAAAGCAGGCAUUUUGCUUGAAUACAUUAGCAUGGAAUAAUAAAAUAGGACGGCAUGAUUCUAUUUUGUUGGUUUCUAGGAUCGCCGUAAUGAUUAAUAGGGAUAGUUGGGGGCAUUAGUAUUCAAUUGUCAGAGGUGAAAUUCUUGGAUUUAUUGAAGACUAACUACUGCGAAAGCAUUUGCCAAGGAUGUUUUCAUUAAUCAAGAACGAAAGUUAGGGGAGUCGAAGACGAUCAGAUACCGUCGUAGUCUUAACCAUAAACUAUGCCGACUAGGAAUCAGACGAUGUUAAUUUUUAAUGACUCGUUUGGCA
rnacentral:rRNA from 1 species